GUUCAUAUAAUUUUAUCUUGUUUUCUUAGGGGUUCAUGUGUCACACAAGUAGGCCUUCUGGAAAGUGUGUAUGAAAUGUUCAGGAAGGAUGACCCCCGCCUAAGUUUCACACGCCAAUCCUUUGUGGACCGCUCCCUCCUCACUCUGCUGUGGCACUGUAGCCUGGAUGCUUUGAGAGAAUUCUUCAGCACAAUUGUGGUGGAUGCCAUUGAUGUGUUGAAGUCCAGGUUUACAAAGCUAAAUGAAUCUACCUUUGAUACUCAAAUCACCAAGAAGAUGGGCUACUAUAAGAUUCUAGAUGUGAUGUAUUCUCGUCUUCCCAAAGAUGAUGUUCACGCUAAGGAAUCAAAAAUUAAUCAAGUUUUCCAUGGCUCGUGUAUUACAGAAGGAAAUGAACUUACAAAGACAUUGAUUAGAUUGUGCUACGAUGCAUUUACAGAGAACAUGGCAGGAGAGAAUCAGCUGCUGGAGAGGAGAAGACUUUACCAUUGUGCAGCAUACAACUGUGCCAUAUCUGUCAUCUGCUGUGUCUUCAAUGAGUUAAAAUUUUACCAAGGUUUUCUGUUUAGUGAAAAACCAGAAAAGGUAG
rnacentral:sRNA from 1 species